UACGUAGGGUGCGAGCGUUGUCCGGAUUUAUUGGGCGUAAAGGGCUCGUAGGCGGCGUGUCGCGUCGGGAGUGAAAGACCGGGGCUUAACCCCGGUUCUGCUUCCGGUACGGGCAUGCUGGAGUGUGGCAGGGGAGACUGGAAUUCCUGGUGUAGCGGUGGAAUGCGCAGAUAUCAGGAGGAACACCAGUGCGGAAGGCAGAUCUCUGGGCCGUAACUGACGCU
rnacentral:rRNA from 1 species